rnacentral:lncRNA from 1 species
GCACUGUGCCCGCCGCCGGGUGCUGCUCGGCCGUCUCCUGAAGUGCUCCGUCUGCUGGCUGGGGGCCAGUGCAGGAAUGCUAACGUUUUUCUGUGCCUAAUUUGGGGCUGUGGGCAGGCGCUGGCGCUUAUUUCAUUUUAUGUUUCUUUUGGUUGAUGGUUGAAUUGAAAAUGAAGAUGUGCUGGGACCUAAUCCCAAAUCAAAAUGCCAGCGUGCUCCCCUGGGGUGAAGCUGUGAGGUGGGCAGCAUCUGUCCCUAUCCCAGGGCUGGGGAAAGCCAGGCAUGGUGCUUCCCACCUGUAGUGGGCUGGGAGGGCUCAUAAAGGACUGGCCGCCCUGGCCAUGAGGUUUUCUUAUUUCCUCCUCUUCUUUUUUGGGGGGGAGGGGGGGGAUUCUUUCAGAUUUGGGGCUUUGGGUUUUUUUAGUAGUGGCUGGAGAUGGGCUCUGUGGUGCGUGGGGAAGUAGAAAGGGAAGAUCACAGAAUCAUGAAGGCUGGAAAAGGCCUCUCAGAUCCCCAGCCCACCCCACUGUGCCCUCUGACACAUCCCACAGUGCCACAUCUCUAUGGCUCUGAAGGACCUCUGGGACAGUGCUCCCAGCACUCCCUGGACAGCUGUGCAGUGCAGCACCGCUCCUUCUGAGCAGAAAUUUCUCCUGCUGUCCAACCUGAACCUCCCUUGGACAUCUUGUCUUCAAAUGAUGAGCUGGGAUCCUCAUGUCAGGGGGGCUGCGUCCUCAGAGCAGGGGAUAGGAGCUUUCUGUGAGCCUGCUUCACAGGAAGCUUUUAACCCCAAUGAUCCUUAAUGGGUCCCUUCUAACUUGGGAUGCUCAAUGAUUCUAUGAACCCCUUUGUCCUCUCAGAAAAUCUCCUGGAUGGAAUCUGGAGAUCUGAAGACAUAUUUCUGCUCUCCUGGCCACCUAUGAACAGGAUGAUGGCGUUACAGCUGCCUGCGCAUCCUUGGGUGGAUCUUCAGUGUUCCUGAGCAGAUUUCACCUGUACUAUUGGUACAUAAUUAAUGUAAACCAAAUGCUUUCUGCACAGCUACUGGCAUCCUGAACCCAUGUUAUGUGUGGUCUUCCCUUUAGCCCGG